GAUGAACGCUGGCGGCGUGCCUAAUACAUGCAAGUCGAACGCAUUGAGAGAAGUGCUUGCACUUUUCAAUUUGAGUGGCGAACGGGUGAGUAACACGUGGGCAACCUACCUGAUAGCGGGGGAUAACGAGUGGAAACAUUCGCUAAUACCGCAUAACAAUAGAGAAGGCAUCUUCUUUAUUUAAAAGGCGCUUUCAAGCGUCACUAUCAGAUGGGCCCGCGGUGCAUUAGUUAGUUGGUUGGGUGAAGGCCUACCAAGACGAUGAUGCAUAGCCGGGUUGAGGGACGGGUCGGACACAUUGGGACUGAGACACGGCCCAAACUCCUACGGGAGGCUGCAGUAGGGAAUCUUCCACAAUGGACGAAAGUCUGAUGGAGCAACGCCGCGUGUGUGAUGAAGGCUUUCGGGUCGUAAAGCACUGUUGUAUGGGAAGAAAUGCUAGGCUAGGAAAUGAGCUUAGUUUGACGGUACCAUACCAGAAAGGGACGGCUAAAUACGUGCCAGCAGCCGCGGUAA
rnacentral:rRNA from 1 species